rnacentral:rRNA from 1 species
AUUGAACGCUGGCGGCAGGCCUAACACAUGCAAGUCGAGCGGAUGAAGGGAGCUUGCUCCUGGAUUCAGCGGCGGACGGGUGAGUAAUGCCUAGGAAUCUGCCUGGUAGUGGGGGAUAACGUCCGGAAACGGGCGCUAAUACCGCAUACGUCCUGAGGGAGAAAGUGGGGGAUCUUCGGACCUCACGCUAUCAGAUGAGCCUAGGUCGGAUUGGCUAGUUGGUGGGGUAAAGGCCUACCAAGGCGACGAUCCGUGACUGGUCUGAGAGGAUGAUCAGUCACACUGGAACUGAGACACGGUCCAGACUCCUACGGGAGGCAGCAGUGGGGAAUAUUGGACAAUGGGCGAAAGCCUGAUCCAGCCAGGCCGCGUGUGUGAAGAAGGUCUUCGGAUUGUAAAGCACGUUAAGUGGGGAGGAAGGGCAGUAAGUUAAUACCUUGCUGUUUUGACGUUACCAACAGAAUAAGCACCGGCUAACUUCGUG